AAAACAUAUGCAAGAAUCUGGAAACUGGAAACGGGGCAGAAGCUGGGAGAAUUCGAGAAAGAGAGGGAGAAAGAGAGAAAAAGGAAAAAAGAAGGAAAUGGAAGAGGCUGAUGAUUUUUGUAAGUUUGGGUUCUUCAUUUCUUCAGCUUAUCACUUUUUUUAGAGAGGCGGGAAUGUGGAAGCUUGGAAAUCUUCGUCAAUUUAAGCAAAUUUCUAUCCAUAGAUCUGUGAGUGGAAAAAUAUAAAUAUUUUUAAAGUAUUUAUAAAUUAAGUUUAUUGUUAAAGUAUGUGCAAUUAUAUGCAAUUAUGUGUUCGAAUUAAAUGAUUUUUAUGGAAAUAUCUUUUAUUAUAAUAUAUGUGGGAUUUCAAAGAUUGUAUACGUUACAUUGUGAAUUGGAAUAUGAGAUAUGAUUUUGAGAUCGACCAGAAGA